AAUCCAUGGUGAGGAUACCUUCUUAUCAAAUCCUUAUACCUCUCCCAAGCCUCAUAUAGUGAUUCAGAAUCAAAUUGUAUGAAAGAAGUGAUAUCAUUCCACAUCUU
rfam:Theobroma cacao cultivar Matina 1-6 chromosome 7, whole genome shotgun sequence.